GAUGAAGAACUCAGCGAAAUGCGAUACGUAAUGUGAAUUGCAGAAUUCAGUGAAUCAUCGAAUCUUUGAACGCAUAUUGCGCUCUCUGGUAUUCCGGAGAGCAUGCUUGUUUGAGUAUCAGUAAACACCUCAACUCCCCUUUCUUUUUUUGAAAUGGGAGCUGGACUUGAGUGAUCCCAACGCUUUUCUCACCGAAAAGUGGCGGGUUACUUGAAAUGCAGGUGCAGCUGGACUUUUCUCUGAGCUAAAAGCAUAUCUAUUUAGUCUGCCUAAAAAACAGAUUAUUACCUUUGCUGCAGCUAACAUAAAGGAGAUUAGUUCUUGUGCUGACUGAUGCAGGAUUCACAGAGACAGCUUCGGCUGGCCUUUGUAAACUCGAUCUCAAAUCAAGUAAGACUACCCGCUGAACUUAAGCAUAUCAAUAAGCGGAGGA
rnacentral:misc_RNA from 1 species